CUGACCCUAGUACGAGAGGACCGGGUUGGACGAACCUCUAGUGUACCAGUUAUCCCGCCAGGGGUAAUUGCUGGGUAGCUAUGUCCGGAAGGGAUAACCGCUGAAAGCAUCUAAGUGGGAAGCCCGCCUCAAGAUUAGUCCUCCCUCUGCUGUGAGAGCAGCAGACUGAAGACCCCAGAUAGACUAUCUGGUUGAUAGGCUCCGUGUGUAAGACCCGUAAGGGUUUAAGCUGAGGAGUACUAACCGGUCGUGAGGCUUGACCAU
rnacentral:rRNA from 1 species